UACAGAGGGUGCAAGCGUUGUUCGGAAUUAUUGGGCGUAAAGGGCGCGUAGGCGGUGCGGUAAGUCUGUAGUGAAAUCUCUGGGCUUAACCCAGAGGCUGCUUCCGAAACUGCUGUGCUUGAGUGUGGGAGAGGCGCGUGGAAUUGCAGGUGUAGCGGUGAAAUGCGUAGAUAUCUGCAGGAACACCCGUGGCGAAGGCGGCUCUCUGGUACGUGACUGACGCUGAGACGCGAAAGCGUGGGGAGCGAACAGG
rnacentral:rRNA from 1 species